UACAGAGGGUGCGAGCGUUGUUCGGAAUUAUUGGGCGUAAAGGGUGCGUAGGCGGCGCGGUAAGUCGGGUGUGAAAUCUCGGGGCUUAACUCCGAAACUGCAUUCGAUACUGCCGUGCUUGAGGACUGGAGAGGAGACUGGAAUUUACGGUGUAGCGGUGAAAUGCGUAGAUAUCGUAAGGAAGACCAGUGGCGAAGGCGGGUCUCUGGACAGUUCCUGACGCUGAGGCACGAAGGUCAGGGGAGCAAACGGG
rnacentral:rRNA from 1 species